GACGAACGCUGGCGGCGUGCUUAACACAUGCAAGUCGAACGGAAAGGCCCUGUCUUUUUGGGGUGCUCGAGUUGCGAACGGGUGAGUAACACGUGAGUAAGGUGUCCCUGACUGUGGGGUAACUUCAGGAAACUGGGGCUAAUACCGGACAGGAUCUCUUGCCGCAUGGUGGGGGCUGGUAAGUUUCGGUGGUUGGGGAUGGACUCGCGGCUCAUCAGCUUGUUGGUGGGGUAGUGGCUUAGCAUGGCUUUGACGGGUAGCCGGCCUGCGAGGGUGACCGGCCACAUUGGGACUGGGAUACGGCCCAGACUCCUACGGGAGGCAGCAGUGGGGAAUAUUGCACAAUGGGCGGAAGCCUGAUGCAGCACCGCCGCGUGCGGGAUGACGGCCUUCGGGUUGUAAACCGCUUUCGCCUGUGACGAAGCGUGAGUGACGGUAAUGGGUAAAGAAGCACCGGCUAACUACGUG
rnacentral:rRNA from 1 species